CAGUGAGUAAGUCCUUUCGAAAGAAUGAGGCCCGUGGACACGGGGUGGGACAAGUAGGAAUGGGUUCACCU
rnacentral:sRNA from 23 species